rnacentral:rRNA from 1 species
AUUGAACGCUGGCGGCAGGCCUAACACAUGCAAGUCGAACGGUAACAGGAAGAAGCUUGCUUCUUUGCUGACGAGUGGCGGACGGGUGAGUAAUGUCUGGGAAACUGCCUGAUGGAGGGGGAUAACUACUGGAAACGGUAGCUAAUACCGCAUAACGUCUCAAGACCAAAGAGGGGGACCUUCUGGCCUCUUUCCAUCGGAUUUGCCCAGAUGGGAUUAGCUAGUAGGUUGGGUAACGGCUCACCUAGGCGACGAUCCCUAGCUGGUCUGAGAGGAUGACCAGACACACGGGAACUGAGACACGGACCAGACUCCUACGGGAGGCAGCAGUGGGGAAUAUUGCACAAUGGGCGAAAGCCUGAUGGAGCAAUGCCGCGUGUAUGAAGAAGGCCUUCGGGUUGUAAAGUACUUUCAGCGGGGAGGAAGGGAGUAAAGUUAAUACCUAAGCAGAUUGACGUUACCCGAAGAAGAAGCACCGGCUAACUCCGUG